UGCUGGCUUUAGAGCUAGGGGCAUCUGGUAUCUAAGCCUGGCUCUUUCACUCACCAGCUGGGUGACCUCUGGACGGAUUGCUUUAUCUCUCUAAGUUUGUUUCCUCAUCUGUCAACUCGAGAAGACUGUUGCAAGAAUCAAAUAAGAUGAAUUGUGUAAGUCAUUUAUACAGUGCCUGCACAGAAAAAGCACUCAGUAAGAGUUAGCCCCAGUCAUUCUGCUGGUGGCGGUCAUUAUUAUUACCCCUUCAUGUUCCCUGGAGAUCAUGACCAAAUGGGAUGCUGUUAGUGAGCAGAACUCCCUAAGAGCGUGAAGGGAAUUACAGAGGAGUCUAUUCCAUCCCCCUGCCUCCAAGAUCAGCUAUUCCUGAGGUUUCUUGGGUUUCAGAAGCCCCAGAGUCCAAAUGCUGAGUUCCAAGUUGAUGUGGUAGACUCAAAGGGAAGUUUGAAAGUGCAAUUACCAAAAGAAAUAACAAUUGAAGGGAACUUCCAAAGGUCUGGGGAGCAGAGAAUCAAGAUACUGGAGUACUGGAUACCCCAAUAGUAUCUGGAUUCCCUUGACAACAGGUGGAGGCUCUCCUGGAACAGAACUGGGUUGAGCAGCCCCAUGAUGUGGGCUGUGACCCUGAAGCACGAAUUCUCUGUGCCCUUAUGUUGCUGCCUCCAUCCUGCUGCAGUUGGGUGAGAAGCCUGGCUUUGUGUCCUCCUAACUGUAUGUUAGCUCUUUAACCGUUCUCCCCACAAGCCUCUGGGUACUCUCCUCCCUAGUCCUUCCUCACCUGUACCCCCCAUCACCAGAACAAU